UGCUUACGGGAGGCAGCAGUGGGGAAUCUUAGACAAUGGGGGCAACCCUGAUCUAGCCAUACCGCGUGAGUGAUGAAGGCCUUAGGGUUGUAAAGCUCUUUCAGCUGGGAAGAUAAUGACGGUACCAGCAGAAGAAGCCCCGGCUAACUCCGUGCCAGCAGCCGCGGU
rnacentral:rRNA from 1 species